rnacentral:rRNA from 1 species
UACGGAGGAUGCGAGCGUUAUCCGGAUUUAUUGGGUUUAAAGGGUGCGCAGGCGGAUUUUUAAGUCAGCGGUCAAAUCGUGGGGCUCAACCCCAUCCAGCCGUUGAAACUGGGGAUCUAGAGUGUGCGAGAGGUAUGCGGAAUGCGUGGUGUAGCGGUGAAAUGCAUAGAUAUCACGCAGAACUCCGAUUGCGAAGGCAGCAUACCGGUGCACAACUGACGCUCAGGCACGAAAGCGUGGGUAUCGAACAGG